GGCUUUGAGGACCCCGCGGCCAUGGAUGAUGAUGAUCCAACCAUCCAGAUAGAGGACUCGUUCCUGUCUGCUUUGAGUCGUGAGAGGGCUAGGCAUAUCAUGCAGCAGAACAGGCCGUCUCAAUCAGAGUUGUCUGGGAAUGCUAUGGAUGCAGAGCAGAUGAAGAAAGUUGGGCAAAGAAAAAGUCCAGCUUAGCACAAAACCCCACCUACAGCAACUGGUGUCUGUAUUGGAACAGCAACAGCAGCUACUGUUACAAUAACUGCAGCUACUAUCACAUCGUCAUCUGCUGCAGCUACAGUAACAUCAUCUUCAGUAGCAGCUACAGCUACAUCAGUUAUGGCUACCAGUUCUGAACUAGUUGAGGAUCAAGCUGUGGACUCGGUUGGACCAGACAGGGUUCCAGGUUAUGGUCAUGUGAUGGCGUUGCAGAGUAUUUGUUUAACUUGAAAGACAAGGAAACUAAGGCCAUUACCAAUGCCGAAGCUGACCACAUCGUGAAGCUGUGGUCUAAGAUGUCUCCUUACGAUCAGUCACCAACAAAGUAUAAGGACCGACCUCAGACCCAGCUGAUCAAAGGACGCUUCAAGGCCCCGAAUACAUCCCGAAUACAGUUGA